GACGAACGCUGGCGGCGUGCUUAACACAUGCAAGUCGAGCGGAAAGGCCCUUUCGGGGGUACUCGAGCGGCGAACGGGUGAGUAACACGUGAGUAAUCUGCCUCUGGCUUCGGGAUAGCCACCGGAAACGGUGAUUAAUACCGGAUACGACACAUCACUGCAUGGUGCGUGUGUGGAAAGUUUUUUCGGCCAGGGAUGUGCUCGCGGCCUAUCAGCUUGUUGGUGGGGUAAUGGCCUACCAAGGCUUCGACGGGUAGCCGGCCUGAGAGGGUGACCGGCCACACUGGGACUGAGACACGGCCCAGACUCCUACGGGAGGCAGCAGUGGGGAAUAUUGGACAAUGGGCGGAAGCCUGAUCCAGCAACGCCGCGUGAGGGAUGACGGCCUUCGGGUUGUAAACCUCUUUCAGCACAGACGAAGCGCAAGUGACGGUAUGUGCAGAAGAAGGACCGGCCAACUACGUGCCAGCCGCCGCGGUAA
rnacentral:rRNA from 1 species